rnacentral:rRNA from 1 species
GACAGAGGGUGCAACCGUUGUUCGGAAUUACUGGGCGUAAAGCGCGUGUAGGCGGCUAAGUAAGUCGGGCGUGAAAUCCCACGGCUCAACCGUGGAAGUGCACUCGAAACUGCGUAGCUAGAGUCCUGGAGAGGAAGGUGGAAUGCUUGGUGUAGAGGUGAAAUUCGUAGAUAUCGAGAGGAACACCUGUGGCGAAGGCGGCCAACUGGACGAGUACUGACGCUGAGACACGAAAGCGUGGGGAGCAAACAGG